rnacentral:rRNA from 1 species
AUGAACGCUAGCGGCAGGCCUAACACAUGCAAGUCGAGGGGCAGCACGUUAAAGAGUUUACUCUUUAUGGUGGCGACCGGCGGACGGGUGCGUAACGCGUAUGCAACCUGCCUGACACAGGGGGAUAAUCCGAAGAAAUUUGGUCUAAUACCCCAUAAUACCGAUAUAGGCAUCUAUGUUGGUUGAAAGCUUUGGUGGUGUCAGAUGGGCAUGCGUUGUAUUAGCUAGUUGGUGAGGUAACGGCUCACCAAGGCGACGAUACAUAGGGGGACUGAGAGGUUAACCCCCCACACUGGUACUGAGACACGGACCAGACUCCUACGGGAGGCAGCAGUGAGGAAUAUUGGUCAAUGGGCGGAAGCCUGAACCAGCCAUGCCGCGUGCAGGAAGACGGCUCUAUGAGUUGUAAACUGCUUUUGUACUAGGGUAAUUUGCGGUACGUGUACCGUAUUGAAAGUAUAGUACGAAUAAGGAUCGGCUAACUCCGUGCCAGCAGCCGCGGUAAUACGGAGGAUCCAAGCGUUAUCCGGAUUUAUUGGGUUUAAAGGGUGCGUAGGCGGCAGAUUAAGUUAGAGGUGAAAUUCCGAGGCUCAACCUUGGCACUGCCUCUGAUACUGGUUUGCUAGCGAGUAGAUGCUGUAGGCGGAAUGUGUGGUGUAGCGGUGAAAUGCAUAGAGAUCACACAGAACACCGAUUGCGAAGGCAGCUUACAAAUCUAUAUCGGACGCUGAGGCACGAAAGCGUGGGGAGCAAACAGGAUUAGAUACCCUGGUAGUCCACACCGUAAACGAUGGAUACUAGGUGUAGGGAAUUAUUUAAUUUACUGUGCCGUCGCAAACGCAAUAAGUAUCCCACCUGGGGAGUACGGCCGCAAGGUUGAAACUCAAAGGAAUUGACGGGGGCCCGCACAAGCGGAGGAACAUGUGGUUUAAUUCGAUGAUACGCGAGGAACCUUACCCGGGCUUGAAAGUUAGUGACGGAUGCCGAAAGGUGUCUUCCCUUCGGGGCACGAAACUAGGUGCUGCAUGGUUGUCGUCAGCUCGUGCCGUGAGGUGUCGGGUUAAGUCCCAUAACGAGCGCAACCCCUAUCGUUAGUUACCAGCACGUGAAGGUGGGGACUCUAACGAGACUGCCGGUGUAAGCCGAGAGGAGGGUGGGGAUGACGUCAAAUCAGCACGGCCCUUACGUCCGGGGCGACACACGUGUUACAAUGGUCGGUACAGAGGGCAGCUACCUGGUGACAGGAUGCGAAUCUCGAAAGCCGGUCUCAGUUCGGAUUGGAGGCUGAAACUCGCCUCCAUGAAGUUGGAUUCGCUAGUAAUCGCGCAUCAGCCAUGGCGCGGUGAAUACGUUCCCGGGCCUUGUACACACCGCCCGUCAAGCCAUGGGAGUCGGGGGUGCCUGAAGUACGUUACCGCGAGGAGCGUCCUAGGGCAAAACUGAUGACUGGGGCU